UGGAAAACAAGUGGUCGAGACGGCCCCCGUUCGUCUGACGAUACCAGUACACACUCUGUGUGGAGAUGGAAAAAUUGCACCAGAGCGUGGAGCUGGCUCCCUCCUGGAGACUCAGGGCUGGGGGACUCUGCUCCACAUCCACUCCUCUCACACCUGAUGGGAAACAGAGAAACAGUCACAGAAGAGAAUGCUGUUUCCAGAUGAAGCAGCCCCCUCUUGUGACUGAAUAAAUGAACUGCAGCGCUAAACCCAGGGCAAAAGUCAGCCCGCAAUCUUUUCAAGGACUCUUCAGAUUUGAAGGUAAACAUCUUACUUGUAACACCUUUUUACUCAUCUGUGUUUUCUUGUUCCUAUAACACCGCACAGAAGGUUUUAAUUGUUUUUAUUGCUUUAUUUCAGUCAAAUGAUUCUCAGUUGUUGGCUUCUCUUUCAAUUUUCCCUUUCUAACUUCCCAUAUUUAAAGGUUACUUUCAAAGCCCAAGAAUUACCUGUUCCUGAAGGAGUACCUCAGUUAUUUAUGAAUUUAGUGACAGAAUUUAUGCUGAGCAUCUCUUUAAAUAAUUCUAAAAACAAUCUCCCAGGUUUAUGGAAGAUAUAUGAAAUAAAUGACACCAACAGGACAAAUAUAGGGUUGUAUUUGUGGACAAAAUGCAAGAGCAGACAACAAACUUCCCGCCUAAGAUGGAGGAAAAUUAGAUUGAAUUAGACAUUUACAGGAGUAAAUGUCAUGGUAAUCAUGCUUUAUUCAUUUAAUAAGUAUUCGUAAAUAUUCACCGGGAGCCUGUUCUGUGGAAACACACACACAGAUAAGCCAACAAGUACUACUGCUGAAAGUAUUUAAACAGGUAAGAAUGUAUAAUAUUAUUAUAUUAGCAAAAAGCAGAAAAAAAGUAAUUAACAGUAACUUUUUUGAUUACUGAUUUCUUUCCCUUAUUUUUUAGAGGAUGCUCGAAACCACUACAAAGUGUCAUUUUAAAUAACAACUGAAAGACAAAAAUACUCUUUAUGAAGACUCUAAACCAUGCUUGUCUAGUCUAUUGGCUCUUUUCAGAGCUUUGAAUUUUAGAGGGUCAUAUCUCUAAAACUAUGUGAAAUGAGGUUAUCUUUCUUUGCUUGAUGAAAACUAAAAUAACGUACAUAAACCUCUCAGAAAAUUGAGAGAAUCUGACAAAAUGCUAACACCUCUGCAUGAUGGAUACUCUCAAAAAUCCAGAAAUAGAAGAGAAAUUCCUGGAUCUGAUAAAGGCUAUCAAUGAAGAAGAUAUUACAAGUCCUUCUCUAUAGGGUCACAAACAAGACAGGUAAACCAUCACUACUCCAUGUCACUGUCCUACCAGAGGGCCUGGCAUCAAAUGAGGAGAAAACAUAAAAUGAACUAAGUUUGAAGACUGAGAAGUAAACCAUUUUUAUCCAGAGAUAUUAACAUUUGCAGAAAAUAAAAAAGUACCUCUAAACAAACCAAAAGAACUAGUACUAAUAGAUGAAUUAACAAGGUCGCUAAACAUAGAAAUCAAUUUUAUUUCUACAUUCUAGUCAAAAGCAUUAGAAAGUAUAAUCAAAAUGCCAUUUAUCAAAUGCUUGGGGACUAAUUUAAUACAAGGCAUGCAAGUCCUCUACAAAAAUUUUAACCUUAAUAAAAGAAAUUAGAGAGGACGUAUGUUAAAAAAAAGAGAGUAUCACAUGAAUCUAAAGACUUUGUGUGUUAAGAUACCUAUUGUCUUAAAUGAAUCCAUAAAUUCAACACAAUCCCAAUCAAAUCACUAGCAACCUUUUCUGUGUUAGAAGCUAAUUCUCUAACUCACAUGAAUGUGCAAAGACCUCGCGUAAGCCUUGAAUAAUAAGAAGAAAGCAUGACUUGCAUUUCCAGAUUUCAAAAAUAUAUGAAGCUUACACAUCUGUGAUUUUGAAGCUCCGAGGAGAGACCACGUGCAGGGGCCAUGAUCAUCCCUGAGUACGGCUGCAGUGAGAGAUGAGCCUGGCCCUCUGUGGUUGCAGCGGAGCCCUUGACACGUGAGUCAGUGAUUUGAGGGGUUCCAGGGCUGUGGGGUCCCCAGAAGUCACAUGAAGCGGACGGACCAUGAGAUAAUGAAACAGUAGCUGUUUGAAGCCACUGAGUUUUGGGGUGCUUUGUGAUGCUGCAAAACCCAAUGCCUCUGAAGUCCUGUAAAGGAGUCUUGCUGAGGACUUGAGAGAAACUGGCAAGAAUAAAACCGCUUUUCUCCUCUCUCUGAUUUCUGAUUAUCUCUGAUAUCUGGACCUGGAACAUCUGUCUGUCUCACUAGACUUCAUUUCACAGAUGGCUGAUAUGGCCAUAGCACUCCUGCCCUGGCACAGAAGAGGAGCUGGUGGUGCUCAGAUGUGAUGGGAGCCUGGGGCCCCCACGGCACAGGAGCCGGUGGCUGGAUGCUCAGGUUGGGGCCCUACAGAAAACAGGGAGAUGUAAGCUUUUCUUGUCCAAUGUGAUUUGUAUAUUUCACCCAUUCUUCUCACUCCAUGUGACAAAACUCUAAAAAAUGAGGGGCUAUUUAAAAGGUCAUGCCUGUGUCUCUAUGAAUAAUCAAAAUUUAACAGACUAUUUUCAAUUUCAGAUCCAUUUGAGAAGCCAAGAAAAUUUCCUUAGUUAUGCAUGACUUUAAUUUUCUGGUAAGGACUCUCCACUCCAAAUGAACAUCCCCCUCAUGUUUAUAACAGUAGAUUUUCCAAAUUAUGUGCCACUGCAUCCAGGAAUUGGAUUAUGUGUGUGGGAAGAGCUUUAUCCCAUCACCUCGAAGGCAAGCAUGAGGCCCAGGGAACUUGCCAUCAUGAAUCCGUUUGAAGCAGCACUCUACAUGAUGGGCUGUGUAAACAUCAUCGGUUUCUAUACGUUCAGUGUUGUGAAAAGGCUGUGAAGCAUUGUGUGGCAGCAAUGCCCAGAUGAGCCAUAUUUCAUCCUUGCUGUUUUUCUCUGCCUUUUGUUUCUACCAAUCCAGAGGUAGCUAAAGCCAGAGAUCAUUACUGAUAGUAUUAAGAAAUCUCCUUCCUCGGUCUUUCUGUCAAUAAUGUAGGAUACUCAGCUUGGAAGUUGACCAGCACCUCUUCUUUGGUGUUGUUCUACACCAUUGACCUUAGUGUGCAGGGAACUACAGGUUCUCCUCACUCAGUCCCGUGCUAUACCUUCUGCUUCUACACACCGUCACAACCACUCCCCGUCUGAUGAUAAGUAGAUCCAUUGCAUCCUUGUAAAUAACCUUUGAAAAAUAAAUCUGUAUCUCUUAAA